rnacentral:rRNA from 1 species
AAUAUUGGACAAUGGGGGCAAUCCUGAUCCAGCCAUGCCGCGUGUGUGAAGAAGGUCUUCGGAUCGUAAAGCACUUUAAGUUGGGAGGAAGGGCUUCAGGUUAAUCCCCGGAAGUUUUGACGUUACCAACAGAAUAAGCACCGGCGAACUCUGUCCCAGCAGCCGCGGUAAUACAGAGGGUGCAAACGUUAAUCGGAAUUACUGGGCGUAAAGCGGGCGUAGGUGGUUCAGUAAGAUGGGUGUGAAAUCCCCGGGCUUAACCUGGGAACUGCUUUCAUAACUGCUGAGCUAGAGUACGGUAGAGGGUAGUGGAAUUUCCUGUGUAGCGGUGAAAUGCGUAGAUAUAGGAAGGAACACCAGUGGCGAAGGCGACUACCUGGACUGAUACUGACACUGAGGUGCGAAAGCGUGGGGAGCAAAC